UUGAAAUGUAGGGCUAUGUUGGUAUUUUAUUUGUACUGAAAUGUGAUUUUAUUUGUAUGUUAAUAAGUAAAGUUGCUUGGGGGUCAGAGCUAAUUGCAAGCCAUAGCAGAGGCUGUGCAUUCGUGGCACAUGUCUUUAAUCCCAGCACUUGGUAGAAGAGCUAGGUAAAUCUCUGUGUGGUCAAGGAUGAGGGCAUCAUUGGACACACACUCCUCUAAUCUCA